rnacentral:rRNA from 1 species
AUUGAACGCUGGCGGCAGGCCUAACACAUGCAAGUCGAGCGGAUGAAGGGAGCUUGCUCCUGGAUUCAGCGGCGGACGGGUGAGUAAUGCCUAGGAAUCUGCCUGGUAGUGGGGGAUAACGUCUGGAAACGGGCGGUAAUACCGCAUACGUCCUGAGGGAGAAAGUGGGGGAUCUUCGGACCUCUUGCUAUCAGAUGAGCCUAGGUCGGAUUAGCUAGUUGGUGGGGUAAAGGCCUACCAAGGCGACGAUCCGUAACUGGUCUGAGAGGAUGAUCAGUCACACUGGAACUUAGACACGGUCCAGACUCCUACGGGAGGCAGCAGUGGGGAAUAUUGGACAAUGGGCGAAAGCCUGAUCCAGCCAUGCCGCGUGUGUGAAGAAGGUCUUCGGAUUGUAAAGCACUUUAAGUUGGGAGGAAGGGCAGUAAGUUAAUACCUUGCUGUUUUGACGUUACCAACAGAAUAAGCACCGGCUAACUUCGUG